rnacentral:rRNA from 1 species
AUGUUAGCUAUGAAUGUUCCUAAAUAUUUGUGGGCUGAAGCUGUGAUGACAGCGGCUUAUUUGAUGAAUAGAAUGCCAUCCCGGGUGCUCAAUAAUAAGACACCGAUUGAGUGUCUAACUGGUGAAACUACAUAUGUUGUGCCACCAAAGGGAUUUGGAUGUGUAUGUUUUGUGAGGGAUCAUAGACCAUCGGUCGGGAAGCUAGAUCCUAGAGCAGUGAAGUGUAUAUUCGUGGGAUACUCAGGAAAACAGAAAGGUUAUAAAUGUUGGUGCCCGUCGGAAAAACGAAUGUUUGUAAGCAUGGAUGUAGUGUUCAGGGAACAUGACUCAUUCUAUGGAGAACCUGUAGAUUUGACUGAUGUUUUCCCAGAUUUAUAUAUUAAUGAUGUUCCAGAUGUGGACAGCAAGACAGGGGGAGAGGAAGGAAUGGAAAGUUAUCCUACUACAUCGAAUGAAAUGGUGGUUGGAGUAAUACCACAUGAAGAAAGUCAUGAAGAUAGGGAUGUGAGUUCUAUAGAAGCAGAACAAGAUACAUUAGACAAAGCAACACGGUGGCCAAAGCCAAAUGAAGAACAAGAAGUUCGGGUGUAUAGAAGAAGACACCAAACCGAGAGGGAUCGGUGGCCAAAGCCAAAUGAAGAAUAA